CGCGGCCUAUCAGCUUGUUGGUGGGGUGAUGGCCUACCAAGGCGACGACGGGUAGCCGGCCUGAGAGGGCGACCGGCCACACUGGGACUGAGACACGGCCCAGACUCCUACGGGAGGCAGCAGUGGGGAAUAUUGCACAAUGGGCGGAAGCCUGAUGCAGCGACGCCGCGUGAGGGAUGACGGCCUUCGGGUUGUAAACCUCUUUCAGCAGGGACGAAGCGCAAGUGACGGUACCUGCAGAAGAAGCGCCGGCCAACUACGUGCCAGCAGCCGCGGUAAGACGUAGGGCGCGAGCGUUGUCCGGAUUUAUUGGGCGUAAAGAGCUCGUAGGCGGCUUGUCGCGUCGACUGUGAAAACCCACAGCUCAACUGUGGGCUUGCAGUCGAUACGGGCAGGCUAGAGUUCGGUAGGGGAGACUGGAAUUCCUGGUGUAGCGGUGAAAUGCGCAGAUAUCAGGAGGAACACCGGUGGCGAAGGCGGGUCUCUGGGCCGAAACUGACGCUGAGGAGCGAAAGCGUGGGGAGCGAACAGGAUUAGAUACCCUGGUAGUCCACGCUGUAAACGUUGGGCGCUAGGUGUGGGGGGCCUCUCCGGUUCUCUGUGCCGCAGCUAACGCAUUAAGCGCCCCGCC
rnacentral:rRNA from 1 species